rnacentral:lncRNA from 1 species
UUGCAGUUGAGGCUAGGGUUAUGGUUGUAGUUGAGACUAGGGUUAGGGUUAUGGUUGUAGUUGAGGCUAGGGUUAUGGUUGUAUUUGAGACUAGGGUUAGAGUUAUGUUUAUAGUUGAGACUAGGGUUGGGGUUAUGGUUGUAGUUGAGACUAGGGUUAUGGUUGUAGUUGAGGCGAGGCGAGGGUUGGGUUUAUGGUUGUAGUUGAGGUUAGAGUUAUUGUUGUAUUUGAGACUAGGGUUAGAGUUAUGGUUGUAGUUGAGACUAGGGUUGGGGUUAUGGUUGUACUUGAGACUAGGGUUAGGGUUAUGGUUGUAGUUGAGACUAGGGUUGGGGUUAUGCUUGUAGUUGAGACUAGGGUUGGGGUUAUGGUUGUAGUUGAGACUAGGGUUAUGGUUAUGAGUGUAGUUGAGGCUAGGGUUGGGGUUAUAGUUAUGAUUGUAGUUGAGGCUAGGGUUGGGGAUAUGGUUGUAGUUGAGGCGAGGGUUGGGGUUGUGGUUGUAUUGAGACUAGGGUUAGGGUUAUGGUUGUAGUUGAGGCUAGGGUUAGGGUUGUAGUUGUAGUUGAGACUAGAGUUAGGGUCAUGGUUGUAGUUGAGACUAGGGUUAGGGUUAUGGUUGUAGUUGUAGGUGAGACUAGGGUUAGGGUUAUAGUUGAGACUAGGGUUAGGGUUAUGGUUGUAGUUGUAGUUGAGACUAGGGUUGGGGUUGUGGUUGUAGUUGGAGUUAUGGUUGUAGUUGAGGCUAGGGUUAUGGUUGUAGUUGUAGUUGAGACUAUGGUUAUGAUUGUAGUUGAGGCUAGGGUUGGGGUUAUGGUUGUAGUUGAGGCUAGGUUUGGGGUUAUGGUUGUAGUUGAGGCUAGGUUUGUGGUUAUGGUUGUAGUUGUAGUUGAGACUAGGGUUAGGGUUAUGGUUAUAGUUGAGACUAGGGUUGGGGUUAUGGUUGUAGUUGAGACUAGGGUUAGGGUUAUGGUUGUAGUUGUAGUUGAGACUAGGGUUAGGGUUAGGGUUAUGGUUGCAGUUGAGGCUAGGGUUAUGGUUGUAGUUGAGACUAGGGUUAGGGUUAUGGUUGUCGUUGAGGCUAGGGUUAUGGUUGUAUUUGAGACUAGGGUUAGAGUUAUGGUUGUAGUUGAGACUAGGGUUGGGUUUAUGGUUGUAGUUGAGGCUAGGGUUGGGGUUAUGGUUGUAGUUGAGGCGAAGGUUAGAGUUAUGGUUGUAGUUGAGACUAGGGUUGGGGUUAUGGUUGUAGUUGAGGCGAAGGUUAGGGUUAUGGUUGUAGUUGUAGUUGAGACUAGGGUUAUGGUUAUGAUUGUAGUUGAGGCUAGAGUUGGGGAUAUGGUUGUAGUUGAGGCGAGGGUUGUGGUUGUGGUUGAGACUAGGGUUAGGGUUAUGGCUGUAUUUGAGGCUAGGGUUAGGGUUGUAGUUCAGACUAGGGUUAGGGUCAUGGUUGUAGUUGAGACUAGGGUUAGGGUCAUGGUUGUAGUUGAGACUAGGGUUAGGAUUAUGGUUGUAGUUGAGGCUAGGGUUAGGGUUGUAGUUGUAGUUGAGACUAUGGUUAGGGUCAUGGUUGUAGUUGAGACUAGGGUUAGGGUUAUGGUUGUAGUUGUAGUUGAGACUAUGGUUAGGGUCAUGGUUGUAGUUGAGACUAGGGUUAGGGUUAUGGUUGUAAUUGUAGUUGAGACUAGGGUUGGGGUUAUGGUUGUAGUUGGGGUUAUGGUUGUAGUUGAGGCUAGGGUUAUGGUUGUAGUUGUAGUUGAGGCUAGGGUUAUGGUGUAGUUGUAGUUGAGACUAGGGUUAUGGUUAUGAUUGUAGUUGAGGCUAGGGUUGGGGUUAUGGUUGUAGUUGAGGCUAGGGUUGGGGUUAUGGUUGUAGUUGAGGCUAGGUUUGGGGUUAUGGUUGUAGUUGAGGCUAGGGUUGGGGUUAUGGUUGUAGUUGUAGUUGAGACUAGGGUUGGGGUUAUGGUUGUAGUUGGGGUUAUGGUUGUAGUUGAGGCUAGGGUUAUGGUUGUAGUUGUACUUGAGGCGAGGGUUGGGGUUGUGGUUGUAUUGAGACUAGGGUUAGGGUUAUGGUUGUAGUUGAGGCUAGGGUUAGGGUUGUAGUUGUAGUUGAGACUAGGGUUAGGGUCAUGGUUGUAGUUGAGACUAGGGUUAGGGUUAUGGUUGUAGUUGUAGGUGAGACUAGGGUUAGGGUUAUGGUUGUAGUUGAGACUAGGGUUAGGGUUAUGGUUGUAGUUGUAGUUGAGACUAGGGUUGGAGUUGUGGUUGUAGUUGGGGUUAUGGUUGUAGUUGAGGCUAGGGUUAUGGUUGUAGUUGUAGUUGAGACUAGGGUUAUGGUUGUAGUUGUAGUUGAGACUAGGGUUGGGGUUAUGGUUGUAGUUGUAGUUGAGAAUAGGGUUAGGGUCAUGGUUGUAGUUGAGACUAGGGUUAGGGUUAUGGUUAUGAUUGUAGUUGAGGCUAGAGUUGGGGAUAUGGUUGUAGUUGAGGCGAGGGUUGUGGUUGUAGUUGAGACUAGGGUUAGGGUUAUGGCUGUAUUUGAGGCUAGGGUUAGGGUUGUAGUUGAGACUAGGGUUAGGGUCAUGGUUGUAGUUGAGACUAGGGUUAGGGUCAUGGUUGUAGUUGAGACUAGGGUUAGGAUUAUGGUUGUAGUUGAGGCUAGGGUUAGGGUUGUAGUUGUAGUUGAGACUAUGGUUAGGGUCAUGGUUGUAAUUGUAGUUGAGACUAGGGUUGGGGUUAUGGUUGUAGUUGGGGUUAUGGUUGUAGUUGAGGCUAGGGUUAUGGUUGUAGUUGUAGUUGAGGCUAGGGUUAUGGUGUAGUUGUAGUUGAGACUAGGGUUAUGGUUAUGAUUGUAGUUGAGGCUAGGGUUGGAGUUAUGGUUGUAGUUGAGGCUAGGGUUGGGGUUAUGGUUGUAGUUGAGGCUAGGUUUGGGGUUAUGGUUGUAGUUGAGGCUAGGGUUGGGGUUAUGGUUGUAGUUGUAGUUGAGACUAGGGUUGGGGUUAUGGUUGUAGUUGGGGUUAUGGUUGUAGUUGAGGCUAGGGUUAUGGUUGUAGUUGUAGUUGAGGCGAGGGUUGGGGUUGUGGUUGUAUUGAGACUAGGGUUAGGGUUAUGGUUGUAGUUGAGACUAGGGUUAGGGUUAUGGUUGUAGUUGUAGGUGAGACUAGGGUUGGGGUUGUGGUUGUAGUUGGGGUUAUGGUUGUAGUUGAGGCUAGGGUUAUGGUUGUAGUUGUUGUUGAGACUAGGGUUAUGGUUAUGAUUGUAGUUGAGGCUAGGGUUGGGGUUAUGGUUGUAGUUGAGGCUAGGCUUGGGGUUAUGGUUGUAGUUGAGGCUAGGGUUGGGGUUAUGGUUGUAGUUGUAGUUGAGGCUAGGGUUGGGGUUAUGGUUGUAGUUGUAGUUGAGACUAGGGUUAGGGUUAUGGUUAUAGUUGAGACUAGGGUUGGGGUUAUGGUUGUAGUUGAGACUAGGGUUAGGGUUAUGGUUGUAGUUGUAGUUGAGACUAGGGUUAGGGUUAGGGUUAUGGUUGCAGUUGAGGCUAGGGUUAUGGUUGUAGUUGAGACUAGGGUUAGGGUUAUGGUUGUCAUUGAGGCUAGGGUUAUGGUUGUAUUUGAGACUAGGGUUAGAGUUAUGGUUGUAGUUGAGACUAGGGUUGGGUUUAUGGUCGUAGUUGAGGCUAGGGUUGGGGUUAUGGUUGUAGUUGAGGCGAAGGUUAGAGUUAUGGUUGUAGUUGAGACUAGGGUUGGGGUUAUGGUUGUAGUUAAGGCGAAGGUUAGGGUUAUGGUUGUAGUUGUAGUUGAGACUAGGGUUAUGGUUAUGAUUGUAGUUGAGGCUAGGCUUGGGGUUAUGGUUGUAGUUGAGGCGAGGCGAGGCGAGGGUUGGGGUUAUGGUUGUAGUUGAGACUAGGGUUAGGGUUAUGGUUGUAGUUGAGGCUAGGGUUAUGGUUGUAGUUGUAGUUGAGACUAGGGUUAGAGUUAUGGUUGCAGUUGAGGCUAGGGUUGGGGUUGGGGUUAUGGUUGUAGUUGUAGUUGAGACUAGGGUUGGGGUUAUGGUUGUAGUUGCAGUUGAGAAUAGGGUUAGGGUCAUGGUUGUAGUUGAGACUAGGGUUAGGGUUAUGGUUAUGAUUGUAGUUGAGGCUAGGGUUGGGGUUAUGGUUGUAGUUGAGGCGAGGCGAGGGUUGGGGUUAUGGUUGUAGUUGAGGCUAGAGUUGGGGAUAUGGUUGUAGUUGAGGCGAGGGUUGUGGUUGUGGUUGAGACUAGGGUUAGGGUUAUGGCUGUAUUUGAGGCUAGGGUUAGGGUUGUAGUUGUAGUUGAGACUAUGGUUAGGGUCAUGGUUGUAGUUGAGACUAGGGUUAGGGUUAUGGUUGUAAUUGUAGUUGAGACUAGGGUUAGGGUUAUGGUUGUAGUUGUAGUUGAGACUAGGGUUGGGGUUAUGGUUGUAGUUGGGGUUAUGGUUGUAGUUGAGGCUAGGGUUAUGGUUGUAGUUGUAGUUGAGGCUAGGGUUAUGGUGUAGUUGUAGUUGAGACUAGGGUUAUGGUUAUGAUUGUAGUUGAGGCUAGGGUUGGGGUUAUGGUUGUAGUUGAGGCUAGGGUUGGGGUUAUGGUUGUAGUUGAGGCUAGGUUUGGGGUUAUGGUUGUAGUUGAGGCUAGGGUUGGGGUUAUGGUUGUAGUUGUAGUUGAGACUAGGGUUGGGGUUAUGGUUGUAGUUGGGGUUAUGGUUGUAGUUGAGGCUAGGGUUAUGGUUGUAGUUGUAGUUGAGACUAGGGUUAUGGUUAUGACUGUAGUUGAGGCUAGUGUUGGGGUUUUAGUUGUAGUUGAGGCUAGGGUUGGGGUUAUGGUUGUAGUUGAGACUAGGGUUAUGGUUAUGAUUGUAGUUGAGGCUAGGGUUGGGGUUAUGGUUGUAGUUGAGGCGAGGGUUGGUGUUAUGGUUGUAGUUGAGGCUAGGGUUAUGGUUGUAGUUGAGGCUAGGGUUGGGGUUAUGGUUGUAGUUGAGGCUAGGGUUAGGGUUAUGGUUGUAGUUGAGGCUAUGGUUAGAGUUAUGGUUGCAGUUGAGGCUAGGGUUGGGGUUAUGGUUGUGGUUGCAGUUGAGGCUAGGGUUGUGGUUAUGGUUGUAGUUGUAGUUGAGACUAGGGUUAUGGUUAUGGUUGUAGUUGAGACUAGGGUUGGGGUUAUGGUUGUAGUUGAGACCAGGGUUAUGGUUAUGGUUGUAGUUGAGACUAGGGUUGGGGUUAUGGUUGUAGUUGAGACUAGGGUUGGGGUUAUGGUUGUAGUUGAGACUAGGGUUGGGGUUAACGUUGUAGUUGAGACCAGGGUUAUGGUUAUGGUUGUAGUUGAGACUAGCGUUAUGGUUAUGGUUGUAGUUGAGGCUAGGGUUGGGGUUAUGGUUAUGAUUGUAGUUGAGGCUAGGGUUGGGGAUAUGGUUGUAGUUGAGGCGAGGGUUGGGGUUGUGGUUGUAAUUGAGACUAGGGUUAGGGUCAUGGUUGUAGUUGAGACUAGGGUUAGGGUUAUGGUUGUAGUUGAGGCUAGAGUUAGGGUUGUAGUUGUAGUUGAGACUAGGGUUAGGGUCAUGGUUGUAGUUGAGACUAGGGUUAGGGUUAUGGUUGUAGUUGUAGUUGAGACUAGGGUUGGGGUUAUGGUUGUAGUUGGGGUUAUGGUUGUAGUUGAGGCUAGGGUUAUGCUUGUAGUUGUAGUUGAGACUAGGGUUAUGGUUAUGAUUGUAGUUGAGGCUAGGGUUGGGGUUAUGGUUGUAGUUUAGGCUAGGGUUGGGGUUAUGGUUGUAGUUGAGGCUAGGGUUGGGGUUAUGGUUGUAGUUGUAGUUGAGACUAGGGUUAGGGUUAUGGUUAUAGUUGAGACUAGGGUUGGGGUUAUGGUUGUAGUUGAGACUAGGGUUAGGGUUAUGGUUGUAGUUGUAGUUGAGACUAGGGUUUGAGUUAUGGUUGUAGUUGAGACUAGGGUAAUGUUGAACCAGGAUGGGGACAUGAAGCUAGGGUUAGAGCCCUGUAAAAGGAGGGAAAACACUGUAAUGAGAAAGGCUUGUCCCUAAACCUAACCUU